rnacentral:tRNA from 1 species
GAACUUGGGAACUUAGGAUGAUCAAACCAUAAACCUUCAAAGUUUAAAACAAGAGUAAACCUCUUAGUACCUGAAU